rnacentral:rRNA from 1 species
AGUGAACGCUGGCGGUAGGCCUAACACAUGCAAGUCGAACGGCAGCACAGUAAGAGCUUGCUCUUACGGGUGGCGAGUGGCGGACGGGUGAGGAAUACAUCGGAAUCUACUUUUUCGUGGGGGAUAACGUAGGGAAACUUACUCUAAUACCGCAUAUGACCUACGGGUGAAAGCAGGGGAUCUUCUGACCUUGCGCGAUUGAAUGAGCCGAUGUCGGAUUAGCUAGUUGGCGGGGUAAAGGCCCACCAAGGCGACGAUCCGCAGCUGGUCUGUGAGGAUGGUCAGCCGCACUGGAACUGAGACACGGUCCAGACUCCUACGGGAGGCAGCAGUGGGGAAUAUUGGACAGUGGGCGCAAGCCUGAUCCAGCCAUACCGCGUGGGUGAAGAAGGCCUUCGGGUUGUAAAGCCCUUUUGUUGGGAAAGAAAAGCAGCAGGUUAAUACCCCGCUGUUCUGACGGUACCCAAAGAAUAAGCACCGGCUAACUUCGUG